UAACCCCCGCCGCAGUUUGGAGCAGA
rnacentral:piRNA from 1 species